rnacentral:rRNA from 1 species
GACGAACGCUGGCGGCGUGCUUAACACAUGCAAGUCGAACGGAAAGGCCCUUCGGGGUACUCGAGUGGCGAACGGGAGCGUAACACGUGGGUGAUCUGCCCUGCACUUUGGGAUAAGCAUGGGAAACUGGGUCUAAUACCGAAUAGGACCACGCGCUUCAUGGUGUGUGGUGGAAAGCUUUUGCGGUGUGGGAUGGGCCCGCGGCCUAUCAGCUUGUUGGUGGGGUAAUGGCCUACCAAGGCGACGACGGGUAGCCGGCCUGAGAGGGUGACCGGCCACACUGGGACUGAGAUACGGCCCAGACUCCUACGGGAGGCAGCAGUGGGGAAUAUUGCACAAUGGGCGCAAGCCUGAUGCAGCGACGCCGCGUGAGGGAUGACGGCCUUCGGGUUGUAAACCGCUUUCAACAGGGACGAAGCGCAAGUGACGGUACCUAUAGAAGAAGCACCGGCCAACUACGUG